rnacentral:rRNA from 1 species
GAUGAACGCUGGCGGCGUGCUUAACACAUGCAAGUCGAACGGAAAGGCUCCUGCUUGCAGGGGUACUCGAGUGGCGAACGGGUGAGUAACACGUGGGUGAUCUGCCCUGCACUUCGGGAUAAGCCUGGGAAACUGGGUCUAAUACCGGAUAGGACGAUGGUUUGGAUGCCAUUGUGGAAAGUUUUUCGGUGUGGGAUGAGCUCGCGGCCUAUCAGCUUGUUGGUGGGGUAAUGGCCUACAAGGCGUCGACGGGUAGCCGGCCUGAGAGGGUGUACGGCCACAUUGGGACUGAGAUACGGCCCAGACUCCUACGGGAGGCAGCAGUGGGGAAUAUUGCACAAUGGGCGCAAGCCUGAUGCAGCGACGCCGCGUGGGGGAUGACGGCCUUCGGGUUGUAAACUCCUUUCGCUAGGGACGAAGCGUUUUGUGACGGUACCUGGAGAAGAAGCACCGGCUAACUACGUG